AACGAACGCUGGCGGCAGGCUUAACACAUGCAAGUCGAACGCAUCCUUCGGGGUGAGUGGCAGACGGGUGAGUAACGCGUGGGAACGUGCCCUUCAGUUCGGGAUAACCCAGGGAAACUUGGGCUAAUACCGGAUACGUGCGAGAGCAGAAAGAUUUAUCGCUGAAGGAUCGGCCCGCGUCUGAUUAGCUAGUUGGUGGGGUAAUGGCCCACCAAGGCGACGAUCAGUAGCUGAUCUGAGAGGAUGAUAAGCCACAUUGGGACUGAGACACGGCCCAAACUCCUCCGGGAGGCAGCAGUGGGGAAUAGUGGACAAUGGGCGCAAGCCUGAACCAGCCAGGCCGCGUGAGUGAUGUAGGCCUUAGGGUUGUAAAGCUCUUUCGUCCGGGACGAUAAUGACGGUACCGGAAGAAGAAGCCCCGGCUAACUUCGUGCCAGCCGCCGCCGUAAUAC
rnacentral:rRNA from 1 species